rnacentral:lncRNA from 1 species
AUGUACAAUAAUCAAUAAAUAGGUGUGUGUUUGAGGCGUUGGAUUAAUUUGUACUUUGGUUUUAGUUAAGGGUUUGGUUAGAGUAUGUCUACGGUUAUGGUUUUAGAGUUUGUUUAGGGUUAAGGGUUUGACUAUGAAUUACGGAUUUAGGGUUUGUUUAGGGUAUGAUUAAGAAUCAUUAUUGUAUUAUGGUUUUAGGGUUUGGUUAGGGUAUGUCUAUGGUUAUGGUUUUAGUUAAGGGUUUGUUUAGGGUUUGGGUCCUCAGGUUUUAUGAUUUUGUAGCACACAAUUCUUUAUAGGGUUGUUUCAUAAUUUAUACAAAAUCAAAUCUAGAGUUGUUUCUUAAUUCAAAUCAAAUACCAAAGCCAAAGUUGUUUUCUAAUUCUAACAAACCAAACUAAUAAAAUCACAGUUAAUCAAUCAUCCUCGAGGUCAAAGACCUCAGACCUCUCCCAUGGUGAAGGCACAUAUC